rnacentral:rRNA from 1 species
UACGUAGGGUGCGAGCGUUGUCCGGAAUUACUGGGCGUAAAGAGCUCGUAGGUGGUUUGUCGCGUUGUCCGUGAAAACUCACAACUCAAUUGUGGGCGUGCGGGCGAUACGGGCAGACUGGAGUACUGCAGGGGAGACUGGAAUUCCUGGUGUAGCGGUGGAAUGCGUAGAUAUCAGGAGGAAUACCGGUGGCGAAAGCGACUCUCUGGACGGCAACUGACGCUGAGGCACGAAAGCGUGGGGAGCAAACAGG